AUUGAACGCUGGCGGCAUGCCUUACACAUGCAAGUCGAACGGUAACGGGCCUUCGGGUGCCGACGAGUGGCGCACGGGUGAGUAAUACAUCGGAACGUGCCCGAUCUUGGGGGAUAACGAGGCGAAAGCUUUGCUAAUACCGCAUACGAUCUACGGAUGAAAGCAGGGGACCGCAAGGCCUUGCGCGGACGGAGCGGCCGAUGGCAGAUUAGGUAGUUGGUGGGAUAAAAGCUUACCAAGCCGACGAUCUGUAGCUGGCCUGAGAGGAUGAUCAGCCACACUGGGACUGAGACACGGCCCAGACUCCUACGGGAGGCAGCAGUGGGGAAUUUUGGACAAUGGGCGCAAGCCUGAUCCAGCCAUGCCGCGUGCAGGAUGAAGGCCUUCGGGUUGUAAACUGCUUUUGUACGGAACGAAAAGCCUUCUUUUAAUACAGGAGGGUCAUGACGGUACCGUAAGAAUAAGCACCGGCUAACUACGUG
rnacentral:rRNA from 1 species